CGCUGGCGGCGUUGCUUAACACAGUGCAAAGUCGAACGAGAAGAGAUGAGAAGCUUGCUUCUUAUAAUUCGAGUGGCAAAACGGGUGAGUAACGCGUAAGCAACCUGCCCUUCAGAUGGGGACAACAGCUGGAAACGGCUGCUAAUACCGAAUACGCUUUUUUUUGUCGCAUGGCAGAGGGAAGAAAGGGAGGCUCUUCGGAGCUUUCGCUGAAGGAUGGGCCUGCGUCUGAUUAGCUAGUUGGUGAGGUAACGGCUCACCAAGGCAACGAUCAGUAGCCGACCUGAGAGGGUAAUCGGCCACAUUGGAACUGAGACACGGUCCAAACUCCUACGGGAGGCAGCAGUGGGGAAUAUUGCACAAUGGGGGAAACCCUGAUGCAGCAACGCCGCGUGAAGGAAGAAGGCCCUUGGGUCGUAAACUUCUGUCCUAAGGGAAGAUAAUGACGGUACCUUUGGAGGAAGCCCCGGCUAACUACGUG
rnacentral:rRNA from 1 species